UUAGCAGGUACAACUGCCCUGCUAUUGCUGUACAGGAGCUGCUGGAGCCCAGAAAAAUAGAGAACCAGAGCUGCUCAUCUUGCAGAUGGACAGAGGAGAGCCAGGGCAUGGCCUGCCUGGACGUGGCAUGCACUCUGGUCCCCAGAGAGAGAGUAGCACUGUGUCUGGAAUUGCUCUUAGGAGUCCAUUAAAACUGAAGCCUCUCAUACCUGAAGGGUCCACUUGUGGACAUAAAGACCCUACAGUGAAGAGCUGACUAUGAUCCAGGGGGUUGCAAAAUUAGUCCAUGGAGAUUUUUAACAAUGUGUGAAACCCUAUCAGGAGCAAAAAGGGAAUUCAGAGGACAUCCUAAUGAAAAAUGAAAAUGGAUCAUCACACAAGUAGCUUAUUAUGAGAUGUAAAACCCCAUGAAAAAUUAAUAUAAUAUUUCUCAAGCAGGGUAAGUUGUGUGUAUGUUUUAAUAAUCCAGAACACAUGGAUAUUUUACAUCCAACUAGAAGGCAGAGAUGUAAGGUGAAAGUGACCUUGUAAUAAGGAAGAAUUCACGUAUGGCUGCAGGAUGCUUGAGUGAGCAGACUAACUGGUGACUGAAAUUAGAAAACCCUUCCAAUCAGUGUGAGGUAGAGAGAGCAUAUAUUGACAGAAUGACUGAAAUGACAUUGACAGCCAGUAGGUCUCAGGCUGCUCACACAUAAGUAAGCCUACAUGGGUAUCUUGGUGAAAGAAAUUACUUAUCAUUUUAUUUUAGUUUUUGAAGAGAGGAAGAGCGCAGAGAAAAGGUGUGUUUCUUUGGUUUGGGAAUGUGCAAAUUCCAUUUUCAAGCCUUGUAUUAGCUAGUUUAUAUUUUCUGUCAUUAGUAAUAUUCUUUUCUUCUCUAGGUAAAACAGCCUUGCUUUAGUGUAUUCGCUAGACCAAUGCUUCAUCCAUAAAGAAUAAUUUGGUGUUCCUAGAUAAAAACCUCUUCCUGCCCUUAUGCAGCACAGAGAUAAUAUUUUAAUAGCUGACUUGGUUAAUUGUGGGUUUCACGAGGCAAUGUAUUUUUGGUACAUUAGGAGACUAUCUACGUCUAACUCUUAAUCUUGAUGUCCCAAAGUUUUCCAUUUAAAAUAAUAUUGUUUUCCUAGGCAGCAUGGCUGACCCCUGCAUUUCCUUUUUUCUUUUGCUUCUCCUUGUACUGGUCUCUAACUUUCAAAUUUUCCAUAAUUAUAGAGACCAUAUAUCCCAGGCUUUCAGAAGCUGUCCAAUUUCUCCUUGCAGUUUUGCAAAUCACUGAAAUAAAUGUCCUAAGCAUCCAAAUAACAUUUGCUAUAUUGCCUAUCCCAUCAGAAAGCUGUACAAAAUUCCUGAGUCAGGUGCAUUGUGAUCCGUUUAUAAGGAAGAUAUGGUCUGUGAGCCCAUGUAAGGCAUGUUUGAAAACUUAAAUGAAUCCACUUAUUUGUAGGUUAUGAAUGCUUUGCUUUAGUCAGUAAGUAUGUUUUUACCAACAUAAGAAAAUGCUAUGUGUUGGUAAUGAUCCAAUUUUUCCUCCUUCCAAUAGUUAACUCUGUUUAAGUAUUUAUCGAAUGUCCACUUUAGGCAGGCUCCCUUUUACUUCUUGGCCACAGAUUCAGUUCCAAGUUCUUAGGAAAAAAAAAAAAGGAUUAAGAUGUGAGCUGAGCAGUCCAUGUGUUAACAUAGUCAUCUCAAAGAUAAAAUGUUUUCUAGCCCAGACACGGUGGCUCACGCCUGUAAUCCCAGCACUUUGGGAGGCCGAGGCGGGCAGAUCACAAGGUCAGGAGAUCGAGACCAUCCUGGCUAACACGGUGAAACCCCAUCUCUACUAAAAAUACAAAAAAAAAAAAAAAUUAGCCAGGCGUGGUGGU
rnacentral:lncRNA from 1 species